UACGUAGGGUGCAAGCGUUGUCCGGAAUUAUUGGGCGUAAAGAGCUCGUAGGCGGUUUGUCGCGUCGGCUGUGAAAACUCGGGGCUCAACCCCGAGCCUGCAGUCGAUACGGGCAAACUUGAGUGCGGUAGGGGAGACUGGAAUUCCUGGUGUAGCGGUGAAAUGCGCAGAUAUCAGGAGGAACACCGGUGGCGAAGGCGGGUCUCUGGGCCGAUACUGACGCUGAGGAGCGAAAGCGUGGGGAGCGAACAGG
rnacentral:rRNA from 1 species